AGAGGAGCCAAGCGUUGUCCGGAUUGACUGGGCGUAAAGCGCACGCAGGCGGACGCGCGCGUGGGGUGUGAAAUCUGGCCGCUUAACGGCCAGGCGCCAUCCCAUACGGCGGGUCUGGAGCCUUGCAGAGGUCGGUGGAAUUGCCGGUGUAGUGGUGAAAUGCGUAGAGAUCGGCAGGAACACCCAGGGGGAAACCAGCCGACUGGGCAAGUGCUGACGCUGAGGUGCGAGAGCGUGGGGAGCGAACCGGAUUAGAUACCCGGGUAGUCCACGCCGUAAACGAUGGCCACUCGGCCUUUGGGGGCGGAAUCUCCGUCCGUGGGGGCCUUAGCAAACGCGGGAAGUGGCCCGCCUGGGAACUACGAGCGCAAGCUUA
rnacentral:rRNA from 1 species